CCCGGUGUAGUGGUGAAAUGCGUAGAUAUCGGGAGGAACACCAGUGGCGAAGGCGGCCUCCUGGGUCGCCCCUGACGCUCAGACGCGAAAGCUAGGGGAGCAAACGGGAUUAGAUACCCCGGUAGUCCUAGCUGUAAACGAUGUGGACUUGGCGUUGGUGGGGUCAAAUCCAUCAGUGCCGUAGCUAACGCGAUAAGUCCACCGCCUGGGGACUACGGUCGCAAGGCUAAAACUCAAAGGAAUUGGCGGGGGCCCGCACAAGCAGCGGAGCGUGUGGUUUAAUUCGAUACUACACGAAGAACCUUACCCGGGUUUGACAUCCAGGUGGUAGGGAACCGAAAGGCGACCGACCCUUCGGGGAGCCUGGACAGGUGCUGCAUGGCUGUCGUCAGCUCGUGUCGUGAGAUGUCCGGUUAAGUCCGGUAACGAGCGCAACCCUUGCUGUAUGUUAUACGUGUCAUACAGGACUGCCGGUUUAGUGCCGGAGGAAGGCGGGGAUGACGUCAAGUCAGCAUGGCCUUUAUAUCCGGGGCUACACACACGCUACAAUGGCCAGUACAACAGGUUGCAAAACCGCGAGGUGGAGCCAAUCCCCAAAACUGGUCUCAGUUCAGAUUGCAGGCUGCAACUCGCCUGCAUGAAGUCGGAGUUGCUAGUAACCGCGCGUCAGCUAUAGUGCGGUGAAUACGUUCUCGGGCCUUGCACACACCGCCCGUCACGUCAUGGAAGCUGACAACACCUGAAGCCGGUAUCCUAACCGCAAGGAUGGAGCCGUCGAAGGUGGGGUUGGUGACUGGGACGAAGUCGUAACAAGGUAACC
rnacentral:rRNA from 1 species